GAUGAACGCUAGCGGCAGGCUUAACACAUGCAAGUCGAGGGGCAGCAUGGGGGUUGCUUGCAAUCCCCGAAGGCGACCGGCGGACGGGUGCGUAACGCAUAUCCAAUCUGCCCUUCACUACGGCUUAACCCGGCGAAAGUCUGACUAAUACCGUAUGUUAGCCAUAGAUGUCAGCCGUUAUAGACGAAAGGCUGGGUGGUGUAGGAGGGGGGUGCGUCCGCUUGGCUGGGCGGCGGGGUGACGGCCGACCGAGGCGACGUUCGGUAGGGGUUCGGAGAGGAAGGUCCCCCACACGGGAACUGAGACACGGGCCCGACUACUACGGGAGGCAGCAGUAAGGAAUAGUGGUCAAUGGGUGGAAGCCUGAACCAGCCAAGCCGCGUGCAGGAAGACGGCCCUAUGGGUGGUAAACUGCUUUUAGGAGGGGAAAAAGUGGGCGACGCGUCGGUUUAUGAAGGUACCGCAUGAAUAAGCACCGGCUAACUUCGUG
rnacentral:rRNA from 1 species